AAGGUAUCUUUGGGCCCGGCUCUUGUCUAUGUUCCUUGGAACAGGACGUCACAGAGGGUGAGAAUCCCGUGCGAUGAGAUGACCCGGGUCUGUGUAAAGUUCCUUCGACGAGUCGAGUUGUUUGGGAAUGCAGCUCUAAGUGGGUGGUAAAUUCCAUCUAAAGCUAAAUAUUGGCGAGAGACCGAUAGCGAACAAGUACAGUGAUGGAAAGAUGAAAAGAACUUUGAAAAGAGAGUGAAAAAGUACGUGAAAUUGUUGAAAGGGAAGGGCUUGAGAUCAGACUUGGUAUUUUGCAUGUUGCUCUCUCGGGGGCGGCCGCUGCGGUUUACCGGGCCAGCAUCGGUUUGGAGCGGCAGGAUAAUGGCGGAGGAAUGUGGCACGGCUUCUGCUGUGUGUUAUAGCCUCUGACGAUACUGCCAGCCUAGACCGAGGACUGCGGUUUUUACCUAGG
rnacentral:rRNA from 1 species